rnacentral:rRNA from 1 species
GACGAACGCUGGCGGCGUGCUUAACACAUGCAAGUCGAACGGAAAGGCCCUGCUUUUGUGGGGUGCUCGAGUGGCGAACGGGUGAGUAACAAGUGAGUAACCUGCCCUUGACUUUGGGAUAACUUCAGGAAACUGGGGCUAAUAACGGAUAGGAGCUCCUGCUGCAUGGGGGGGGUUGGACAGUUUAGGCGGUUGGGGAUGGAAUCGCGGCUUAUCAGCUUGUCGGUGGGGUUGUGGCUUACCAAGGCCUUGACGGGUAGCCGGCCUGGGGGGGUGACCGGCCACAUGAAGACAGAGAUUGGGGACAGAGAACUACUAGAGGCAGCAGUGGGGAAUAUUGCACAAUGAACGGCAGCGUUACGCAGAAACUCCGCGUGCGGGAUGACGGCUUUAGGGUUGUAAACCGAUUGAGCCUGUAAAGAAGCGUCAGUGACGGUAAUCAGUAAAGAAGCAACGGCUAACUACGUG